rnacentral:rRNA from 1 species
UACGUAGGGUGCAAGCGUUAAUCGGAAUUACUGGGCGUAAAGCGUGCGCAGGCGGCUUUGCAAGACAGAUGUGAAAUCCCCGGGCUUAACCUGGGAACUGCAUUUGUGACUGCAUGGCUGGAGUGCGGCAGAGGCGAGUGGAAUUCCUGGUGUAGCGGUGAAAUGCGCAGAUAUCGCCUGGAACGCCGAAGGUGAAAACAGUCUGCUGGGGGCGUACCGACGCUGAGACACGAAAGCCAGGGGAGCGAACGGG